UGGUUCUGCUGCCGGUGGUGGUGUCGGC
rnacentral:piRNA from 1 species